rnacentral:rRNA from 1 species
GGGGGAUAUUGCGCAAUGGGGGAAACCCUGACGCAGCAACGCCGCGUGAAGGAAGAAGGCCUUCGGGUCGUAAACUUUUGUCUUCUGGGACGAAUAAUGACGGUACCAGAGGAGGAAGCCACGGCUAACUACGUGCCAGCAGCCGCGGUAAUACGUAGGUGGCGAGCGUUGUCCGGAAUUACUGGGUGUAAAGGGCGUGUAGGCGGGACUGCAAGUCGGAUGUGAAAUACCGGGGCUCAACUCCGGGGCUGCAUUUGAAACUGUAGUUCUUGAGUGCAGGAGAGGAAAGCGGAAUUCCUAGUGUAGCGGUGAAAUGCGUAGAGAUUAGGAGGAACACCAGUGGCGAAGGCGGCUUUCUGGACUGUAACUGACGCUGAGGCGCGAAAGCGUGGGGAGCGAAC